rnacentral:rRNA from 1 species
GAUCAUGGCUCAGAUUGAACGCUGGCGGCAUGCCUUACACAUGCAAGUCGAACGGUAACAGGUCUUCGGACGCUGACGAGUGGCGAACGGGUGAGUAAUACAUCGGAACGUGCCCAGUCGUGGGGGAUAACUACUCGAAAGAGUAGCUAAUACCGCAUACGAUCUGAGGAUGAAAGCGGGGGGACCUUCGGGCCGUCGCGCGAUUGGAGCGGCCGGAUGGCAGAUUAGGUAGUUGGUGGGAG